rnacentral:rRNA from 1 species
UAACGGCGAGUGAAGCGGCAGAAGCUCAAAUUUGAAAUCUGGGGUCGCCGACCCCCGAGUUGUAAUUCGAGAGGCGACUUCCGGGGGGGGUCCCGGCACGUGUUCCUUGGAACAGGACGUCAGAGAGGGUGAGAAUCCCGUUCACUGCCGCCCGCGCCCCCCCCUCUGUGAAGCGCCUUCGACGAGUCGAGUUGUUUGGGAAUGCAGCUCCAAGUGGGUGGUAAAUUUCAUCUAAGGCUAAAUACUGGCGGGAGACCGAUAGCGCACAAGUAGAGUGAUCGAAAGAUGAAAAGCACUUUGAAAAUAGAGUUAAAAAGUACGUGAAAUUGUUGAAAGGGAAGCGCUUGANACCANACUCAGGGCGGGGCAAACAGCCUUGCCCCCAACCGGGCGGCGCACUUGCCCCGACCCUGGGCCAGCAUCAGUUGUGGUGGUGGGACAAAGGCGCCGGGAAUGUGCCUCCCCCUCGGGGGAGCGUUAUAGCCCGACGUCGGAUGCCGCCGACCACGACUGAGGACCGCGCUUCGGCAAGGAUGCUGGCUUAAUGGUCUUCAGCGACCCGUCUUGAAACACGGACCAAGGAGUCUAACAUCUAUGCGAGUGUUUGGGCAUCAAACCCUUACGCGCAAUGAAAGUGAGCCGAGGUGGGAACCCCCCCGAUGGGAGGGAGCACCAUCGACCGAUCCCGAUGUUCUCGGAAGGAUUUGAGUAGGAGCAUAGCUGUUGGGACCCGAAAGAUGGUGAACUAUGCCUGAAUAGGGUGAAGCCAGAGGAAACUCUGGUGGAGGCUCGCAGCGGUUCUGACGUGCAAAUCGAUCGUCAAAUUUGGGUAUAGGGGCGAAAGACUAAUCGAACCAUCUAGUAGCUGGUUCCUGCCGAAGUUUCCCUCAGGA